UACGGGGGGGGCAAGCGUUGUUCGGAAUUACUGGGCGUAAAGGGCUCGUAGGCGGCCAACUAAGUCAUACGUGAAAUCCCUCGGCUUAACCGGGGAACUGCGUCUGAUACUGGAUGGCUUGAGUUCGGGAGAGGGAUGCGGAACUCCUGGUGUAGAGGUGAAAUUCGUAGAUAUCAGGAGGAACACCGGUGGCGAAAGCGGCUCCCUGGCCCGAUACUGACGCUCAGACACGGACAGCAUGGGGAGCGAACGGG
rnacentral:rRNA from 1 species